AGCAGCCGCGGUAAUUCCAGCUCCAAUAGCGUAUAUUAAAGUUGUUGCAGUUAAAAAGCUCGUAGUUGAAUUUCGGGGUUAGUACGCUGGUCAUGCCUUCGGUAUGUACUGGUGUUACCGAUUCCUACCUUCUGAAGAACCGUCAUGUCAUUAGUUUGGUGUGGCGGGGAAUCAGGACUGUUACUUUGAAAAAAUUAGAGUGUUUAAAGCAGGCUCGCGCUUGAAUACAUUAGCAUGGAAUAAUGAAAUAGGACGUUCGAUCCUAUUUUGUUGGUUUCUAGGAUUGACGUAAUGAUUAAUAGGGAUAGUUGGGGGCAUUAGUAUUCAAUUGUCAGAGGUGAAAUUCUUGGAUUUAUUGAAGACUAACUACUGCGAAAGCAUUUGCCAAGGAUGUUUUCAUUAAUCAAGAACGAAAGUUAGGGGAUCGAAGACGAUCAGAUACCGUCGUAGUCUUAACCAUAAACUAUGCCGACUAGGGAUCGGAUGAUGUUAAUUUUUAAUGACUCAUUCGGCGCCUUAC
rnacentral:rRNA from 1 species